AUUAUCUACACAUACUGAUAGAAGAAAACACAGUCUACGUACAGCAGUGAAAUAAGGUUUAAAUGGACGAGUUUAGCGCAAGCUUUCACACUCAGUUGACUGAGCCUAUGAGAAAGGAGUUAGGAAGUGUCCUCGCAGACCAGGAUGAGGUGGUGAAAAUGGCCUUGAGCGAACUGCUCUCUGAUAUCGAGGCUUUGGAGGGAGAUAGGAGGUUGGAGCAACAGCAGUGGCAGACGGAGAAAGAGAAAUUGAAGUUGGAGAUAGAAGCUGCUCGCAAGGAGGAGCAAAUCAAAUGUCAGGCUGCCAUUGAAGGAAUGGCUGCAAGGAUUAAGAAGGAGAACAUGGAGAGGCUGGAAGAGAGGGAGCAAAUGGAGGCUGAACACAAGAGCCUCAUUGCCAAGAUGAAAAGGGAUGAAGAAGAGAGAGAAACAUCCAGCAAGAAGGUGACAGAGGCUCUAUUGAAGGAGGUGGAAAAUCUGGAGGCCUCCAGGGACCAGCAGCUUAAAACAAUGAAGGAACAUUACGAGGAGGCCACAUCUGACAUGAACUUAAGGCUGAGGGAGAAACAUGAGAGAAUCUUAUCUCUUGAAGAGGAAAGGGAUGAAUUUAAAGCGAGCGUGCUGAAGGACUCUGAGAGAUGGCGUAGGUGGACCAAGGAAGUGGAAGACCUCGUCUUGUCUGGAGCUGUGACCACUGCUGUUAUCAAACAGAGGCUGAUGUCAGAAUUGAGGACUCAGGCUGAGACAUGGAUGUUUGGAAAUGCUUCAGAAAGUUCCACAGAUGGCCAUAUGAAGAGCAGAAAUGUACCAAAUGUUUUCCUGAAGUGGAGGAUUCGUAAUGAAUGGAGAAAACUCCAGGGGAAUCAGGCCUUCCUCAAUGAUGACCUUCAGAAUUUCUGCCUUAGCAAAGAAAUUGAGACAUUGAUACUGUCAACUAAUGCAGCUCAAGAUAAGAUUAACCAGAAGUAUAAGAAAAAGAUUGACAAAAUCAGAAAUGAGGCCAAGAAGAAGGAGGCCGAACUAGUUCAAGCUGAAUUGAAAGAGACAUCAAAGCUUGAGAAAAAGAAAAGAGAGAAAAUGGAAAGGAUUCAGGGUACCACAUUACAGGCUGAGCUGAAGGCAGAGAAGAAAAGGCAAAUUAAAAAGCAGAGAGAGCGCAAACGCAGAUAAAGGUAGCGAAAGAGCAGGAAAAGGCAGAGGCAAAAGAACAGCGUGAGGCGAAACGGGCCAAGACAGAGAGUAGAGGUCAGAAUGAAUCCCACACCGGCAGGAGGAGAUUCUUCAGGGCAUGCUUCUAGGUCAACUCAAGGUCAACCGCUAAAGAGAGCAAGGAGGAACACUUUGCCCCAAACCCUCACCUAAAUCAUCAAAAGAGAACACUAGAGAAAAGGGAGUAGGUUUUCAAAAAGGAGACCAGCAGUUGGUACCAGCUGGAGGAAGGGCUUUAGUGCAGUUUGAGGUUAAAAGCAAACUAUUUACACAGAGGCAUCGCUAAAAGUUCUGGGCCCCAUGAAAAUACGAUAUAGAAAUGAUCAGUUUCAAAGCUCCACAUUAGCAUGUUCUAUCGCUGGGUUCUCUGAAUCUUUUAGGGCCCUCUGCCCCUUGCUACAACCCUGUAUCAAUUUAGCCAUAUAAUGCUGUAUCUUUAUCUCACUAUAACCUAGCCUGCCCUCAUGUUUGAUCCAUGUUUGAUGCCCUCUCUCGCCCCCCUCUCUCUCCUGCCCUCACUUAACUACCUCUGGGGCUCUGGUCUGAGCUGUGGCCCGCCUCAUCCCAACCCGGAUCAAAGAACCUCUGAUCUGAAACUCAUCAUUGCUUAAGGGAAAUAAAGAUGCUAUUUAGUACAUUUCUGAUUCAGUUGCUUUUUUUUGUAUGUUGAGAAGUCUGAGAGGGGUGUGAAUGCAUUAUUAAAACUGAGAUAAGAUUGUG
ensembl:lncRNA